UGGGGAAAAAAUCCGUGGGACUCCCUCCUCACUGUGCACCAGUAAACAAGAAUUCUUGAGAAAUUGGUCUUUGGGAAGUGGGGGUCCUAGAUUUCUCCGACAUGUAAUUUACUCUAUGUACAGCCAGUCACUGUACUUCCUACUUCAUGUAACCGCUUGCAAAGAGAGUCGCACUUCCCAGCAAACCAAGACACGCUAAAGAAGGUCUGAGGAAGGCAAGGACGCCGUUCAGAAGGGAAACCAACCACGCUUCAUUUCCUGUGGGCUAGGAAGGGCUCUGAGUUCCACAUAUGCCCCUUAUUAGGCCAGUGUCUGAAGAAAUUGGGCGAGUCUAUCACACUGAGGCAGGACGCUGUCUCUUCAGGGCUGAAGGGCUCAGUACGGAAUUGAAAUCGGAGCCACUUUGCUUAAAACUAUGAGCAAAAGUGUGAUGUUCGGCGUUUUUGUUUUCACUCUAUAUCCAGGUGCUGUGCUGGGUGACCGUGACUCGCUCCAGCCCAGGGAACCCCAGAUGUCUGGAGCUGAAGGCGGCUCCGUGACCCUCAGCUGUUCUUAUGAAACCAGCUACCUUGCUGGUGUCUAUCUCUACUGGUACCGUCAGUAUCCGAACCGCGCCCCGCAGUACAUCCUGCGGAGAGGGACGAAGGAAGUCAGCUCCGUCAGUGAUACCGCAGACUUCGCCCAGGAGAGGUUUUCUUCCCAGGCUGGUGGCAGCUCCACAGCUCUGAACAUCACAGCCCUGGAGCUGGCAGACACAGCGGUGUAUUAUUGCGCCCUGCAGCGGGCACAGUGACACAGCCACACAGCAGAGCUGUACAAAAACCCUCCUCUUCCCUUCACCUUCAGGGGCUCUGCAUGGAAGAGGGACCAGAGAGAACGUCCCCAUGACCCUGCAUUCGUCCCCAGUGAGGGAUGCAGCGCUGGGCCACAGCUCAGACACACAGGUGCUGUCCUCCCUGUCAGCAUCUCGCUGAUACAUUUCAGAAUGUGUACACACACACACACACACACACACACACACACACACACACACACCUCUCUUGAAAAUGCCACUCAUCAAAACAAAUGGAUACACGCAUUCACAAAUACCUGUGAUUGAAUGGAGGCCUUCCUUCCUCGGGCUCUUAAAUCCCAGCCCAAAUGUUUAAACGCAGCGGGGUCUGUCUCUACCAGUGUCUGGG